rnacentral:rRNA from 1 species
CCUACGGGAGGCAGCAGUGGGGAAUAUUGCGCAAUGGGCGCAAGCCUGACGCAGCAACGCCGCGUGAGGGAAGAAGGCUUUCGGGUUGUAAACCUCUUUUAUCAGGGACGAAACAAGUGACGGUACCUGAUGAAUAAGCCGCGGCUAACUACGUGCCAGCAGCCGCGGUAAUACGUAGGAGGCAAGCGUUAUCCGGAUUUACUGGGUGGAAAGGGCGGGUAGGCGGGCGUGCAAGUCAGAUGUGAAAACUCUGGGCUCAACCCAUAGCCUGCAUUUGAAACUGUACUGCUAGAGUGCUGGAGAGGGAAGUGGAAUUCCGUGUGUAGCGGUGAAAUGCGUAGAUAUAAGGAGGAACACCAGUGGCGAAGGCGGAUUGCUGGACAGUAACUGACGCUGAGGCGCGAAAGCGUGGGGAGCAAACAGGAUUAGAUACCCCAGUAGUC